GAAGGACCACGGCUUCUAUUCUUAGUCUUAGGGUUAGUCUUAGGGAUUGCUUAAUGAUUAGGUAUUAUUCGUUCGUUCUCUAUAAAAUAGGAAAUCUUUCUAUCUAUCUAACUUAUCAAAUUUAUACUUAAAAAAGAUUUUUUUCUUAAAAAAAAAAAAAAAGAAAGAAGGUUAUAAAAAGGUCGAAAAUCUGAAGUUGAAGUUAAUAAUUCAUUAAAACUGAAUCUAAAUACAGGGCGGA
rnacentral:tRNA from 1 species